GGUUGAUUGGUUGUUUACGCUUGUUUAUGUUUGUUUACACCUGUUGUUUACCUUUGAUUAGCCCUUGUUUACAUUUGUUCAGCAUUGAUUCUGAUGUGUUUACUUAUAAUCCGCAUUUGGUUGCCUGUCUAUUUCAUGUUUUUUGGUUAAGUAAGGUUGAGUUUGGGUUAAGUUAGGUUGAUUUUGUGUUUUCGUUAAGUAAGGUUGAGUUUGGGUUAAGUUAGGUUAAUUUUGUUUUCGGUUAAGUAAGGUUGAGUUUGGGUUAAGUUUGGUUAAUUUUGUUUUCGGUUAAGUAAGGUUGAGUUUGGGUUAAGUUAGGUUAAUUUUGUUUUCGGUUAAGUAAGGUUGAGUUUGCGUUAAGUUAGGUUAAUUUUGUUUCCGGUUAAGUAAGGUUGAGUUUGGGUUAAGUUUGGUUAAUUUUGUUUUCGGUUAAGUAAGGUUGAGUUUGCGUUAAGUUAGGUUAAUUUUGUUUUCGGUUAAGUAAGGUUGAGUUUGGGUUAAGUUUGGUUAAUUUUGUUUUCGGUUAAGUAAGGUUGAGUUUGGGUUAAGUUAGGUUAAUUUUGUUUUCGGUUAAGUAAGGUUGAGUUUGCGUUAAGUUAGGUUAAUUUUGUUUUCGGUUAAGUAAGGUUGAGUUUGGGUUAAGUUAGGUUAAUUUUGUUUUCGGUUAAGUAAGGUUGAGUUUGGGUUAAGUUAGGAAUCUCUCUCUUAAGUUAGAGAGAGAGA